UCCUGCUGGCCCUGGGGGUGGAUUUCGAUAACAUGGAGGGCUGCUGGGACAACGAGCACUUCUUCACCCGCAUCGGCGUCUUCCAGGAGCACCUGCUGAGCAUCCUGGAGCAGCAGAAGUACAGGCAGGAGAUCCGGAUCCUGCUGGGCACCAAGUUCUCAGAUGACUUUAUAAGGAAGAGUUUAGCCUCUGAGUGGCCACAAAUAAUUGUGAUAGCAGAUGGAUCCUGCGGAGAAUCAAGCUCAGUUCUUGGAAUCAGUCCAGAUUACAUUGUGGAAUCCUGUAAUGCUUAUGGAGCAAAUGCAGCUAUUGAGAGGCGUGAUCAGAGACAGGUGCCAACUCCAGAGAUCCGUGCUCACAGUCUAUAUUUUGAUCUCUCUGCUUAUGGAAUGGAUAUAUCUUCCACGGGUAAGGAAUCUCUGAAGCCAGGAUUUCAUCUGAAAAUCUAUGGGACAUUCCGUAAUCGAUACAUGGCUUUGGCAUGUCCAGCUUCUGAUUCCAAAGUUGUUAGAUUUCUACGGCAUACUCUCAAUUCCUCAAUAAUGAAGAACAUAUUCCACCAAUCUUUCAAUGCCUACAAGAUGGAUAUUGAACCCAGGGUGAAUGAAUUGACUCUCCAUCAUGUCCAGUGUAGUAGAAGACUCUUUGAGAUCAUGCUUUCUCAUAGGAGGGUAACAGCAGCCUUCAUUGAGGGGGACAAUGUAGUGGUCACUGUGGAAGGAGAAGCAGCCAGAGUGCUGAAUUUCGACACUGGCUGUGGAGUUAAUCUUGGAUUGAGAGGCUUGGAAUCCUUGGAAGAAUUAAUUUACAGGGUUGCUACAGCAGUGGAUCAGAAUGAUAUCUUUGAAGCACUGUCUGCCAAGAUACGACACUCCA
rnacentral:lncRNA from 1 species